AAGCUUGGUACCUUCGGUAUCCGCGUUUGUAACCUCGAGACACGUUUUCCGUGUUUGCGCUAUGGACAAGUUCCUUGGAACAGGACAUCGUACAGGGUGAAAAUCCCGUACUUGCCAUGGAAGUACCGUGCUUUGCGAUACGUGCUCUAAGAGUCGAGUUGUUUGGGAUUGCAGCUCAAAAUGGGUGGUAGACUCCAUCUAAAGCUAAAUAUCGGGGAGAGACCGAUAGCGAACAAGUACCGUGAGGGAAAGAUGAAAAGCACUUUGGAAAGAGAGUUAAAAGUACGUGAAAUUGUCGAAAGGGAAGCGCUUGAAGUCAGCCAUGCCGCUCAAGACUCAGCCUGGCUUUUGCUUGGUGUAUUUCUUGGGAAACAAGUCACCUUUGGUUGGGAUCGUCGAAAAACCAUAGUCGGAAUGGGGCG
rnacentral:rRNA from 1 species